AAGUCGUAACAAGGUAUCCGUAGGUGAACCUGCGGAUGGAUCAUUACCAAAGGAUUUUUCCUGACGUACUGUGAACUGUAUUGAAUGCAUGGUUAGUGAGGGUGGUUUUGUAGAGUUUAAUCUCUCUACAACUCUCACUAACCAUAACAAAACGUAUUUACUCCAUAAACUGACGUCUGCUUUAGCUUAAUAAACUAAAGACAACUUUUAGCAAUGGAUCUCUUGGCUCUC
rnacentral:misc_RNA from 1 species